AAGACUCUUUGAUCAAGAAAACAGCGUAUUUAUCGUUGGCAGCCAAUGCUUACAUCAGAGGCUGUUGACAUGAACGUAGACCCAUCAAGGACUUCCUGGGACAAUGAUGCUACUCUUUUCCUAAUGCAGUAGUGGAUGUUGAAGAGUCCUAUAAAUCCACCACAAAGUGGAAUGGAUCCCGGCAUGGCUCAUCUUCCAGCAUCGGACCUGCACUGCAAUUUUAGUUCUCAAACGCAGCAUCACAUCAGGGACCAUCAGCGGGGCGUUGCAGUUUGAGCUCCGGACAGAAGAGGGGGCCCUUCGGAUGGCCAGAAGGAAAAGCUCGGCCAGAUGUGGACCAGCUGCAGCCCCAGAGCGCCUCCUGCUCCAGGGCCCCGUGCUACCGACCGCAGUAUGGAGCGAGCAGGGGGCUUGCUGGAGAUAGGAAUCCCAAGGACGGCGUGCUGGGAGCGAGAUACGCGGUUAAUAUUUCUGCUCCACUCCAAAGGUGGCUGAGACGGUAUAGAUUUAAUGCUCGAUACUUGCUCUGGAGCCUCCAUGCUGUUUAAAUCUGCACUAUGGAAGGUUGUGGCUUAUUCAGUCAAGGUUGUAUCUUGUAAACCACCCGAGGAACAAAUUCCAUGCAAGGUUGCCUGCGUGCAAAUAUGAUUUUUGACACAAACUGCUGGAUUCCCUGACGUUUCUACUUCUACCUCAGGUAAAUUUGUAUCGGCUGCACUGAACAAGCAAAAAUGCUUCCACACUGUAAAACACUCCCAUAACAUUGAUUCAAGAUUGAUCACUUGCACGAGGUAGUUCAGAGAGUAGUUAUAGCUGCGCAAAACCUUUUAUUCAGGGUUAGAAUUUGACCUAGCGUGAUAACCAGGCAAUAAAAUGGGAGUCGGCUGUCAAUUUCAGGAGAAAUAAGGCAUCACCAGAGCUUAAAGAUCUGCUUCAUAACAUUUCUAUCAAAUAAAUCAUAUCUCCUGAGUGGAUAUUUCCACAAUUCUUGACAAGGAAGAAAGAAAAUAUUGUCUUUGCCUAGAUCUGGUGAAGUGAAAUAAAGCUGUAAUGAUUGCUAGCCAACCACAUCUACACACAGAAUUAAUGCAAGCACUCAGUGUGCAGAGAUGUUUUAAAAUCUUGAUUUACAGUCUGUGUUUUGUAAAUUAACAGAAUCCUCACAGCCCUCACAUGAUCUUCAUCGACCAAUUCUGUGUUUGAAACACAUGCCAUAUGUUUGAAACUGACCCUAAUUCUUCUGGAGAAAGGAGUGGUUGGUGUUUUCAGGAAGCAGCCUGGAAUCCAGUGCCAGCUGGUGAGUCAUUAAAUAAGGAGAAUAACAUUUACAGGACGUAAUACAAUAUAUCAGUUUAGCAGAACUGAAAUUUAACUUUCUCAAAUGCCACUUCAGAUAAACAGAAUGUAGUCUUUCUCCACUGGAACUGGACCAGGUGCAGAAUAAGCUGCUAUAAUUAUGCCUGCCCUACCAUGAGGACCAUUGCAAGUAUUUUAAUCUUUCUUAUUUCUUACAUUACACUAUGAAAACUUCAUUGAAAAAUACAUUUCAACUGUAAAGCUGUUUGAAGUAUGACGUUUAAAGUGUAUCUUGAACAAAUGUUGCAGAUCUUCAUUCUGAAUUGGUGAAAACUGUAAGUAUGAGAUGUCAGAAUUUAUACUGUUGUGCUAUUUUAUUGUUACUGAAUGAGGUAGAAACACAUCAGGAUAGGAUCUAGAGGCCAAGUUUAUCCAAAUAUAUGAGGUCAACUCUGAGAAGACUGUUAUGGACUCUGGAAGAACAAUUACAGAAACUGUAAAAGUAUUCUAUCCUUGGAAAAGAAGUACUGGCUUGUAUAGGAGUAAUAGGAAAAAGAUAACGCUGUCUUGUGGCUAUAAAUUCAGCUUCAUAAGGAUCAAUUUCCUUUGCCUAUCCAUGUACAGUUAACAAUGAAAAGACUUAGAGAAGCGCGAAGUAAUAUUUUCUUUUACGUGUGACAUAGAAAACAAAGCAGAACAUAAAAAUGUGACGCUUGAGUGCUUGUUUUCCUCAUUUUUAUUUUCUCCAAAUACUCUAAAUACUCACGGGUACAGUCUUCUACUAUGGAAACUGAUGAAGAAAUCAGAUAUGUAUUUACUGCAGUUUUAGAAAAAUAAUAUAAAUCUACUUGUUUAGUUUGUCUUGUUCAACAGAAAUUACAUGGCGUCCUGACAGCAAAAUAGACUAAUAAUCAUAACAAAUCUAAU
rnacentral:lncRNA from 7 species